rnacentral:rRNA from 1 species
UGGGAAGUAUUGCACAAUGGGCGCAAGCCUGAUGCAGCCAUGCCGCGUGUAUGAAGAAGGCCUUCGGGUUGUAAAGUACUUUCAGCGAGGAGGAAGGCGAUAAGGUUAAUAACCUUGUCGAUUGACGUUACUCGCAGAAGAAGCACCGGCUAACUCCGUGCCAGCAGCCGCGGUAAUACGGAGGGUGCAAGCGUUAAUCGGAAUUACUGGGCGUAAAGCGCACGCAGGCGGUCUGUCAAGUCGGAUGUGAAAUCCCCGGGCUCAACCUGGGAACUGCAUCCGAAACUGGCAGGCUAGAGUCUUGUAGA